AUUGAACGCUGGCGGCGUGCUUAACACAUGCAAGUCGAUCGGUAACAGGUGUAGCAAUACAUGCUGACGAGAGGCGGACGGGUGAGUAAUGCUUGGGAAUCUGCCUAUUAGUGGGGGACAACCCGGGGAAACUCGGGCUAAUACCGCAUACGCUCUACGGAGGAAAGCCGGGGACCGCAAGGCCUGGCGCUAAUAGAUGAGCCCAAGUCGGAUUAGCUAGUUGGUAGGGAACGGCCUACCAAGGCGACAAUCCGUAGCUGGUCUGAGAGGACGACCAGCCACACCGGAACUGAGACACGGUCCGGACUCCUACGGGAGGCAGCAGUGGGGGAAUAUUGGACAAUGGGGGCAACCCUGAUCCAGCGACGCCGCGUGGGUGAAGAAGGCCUGCGGGUUGUAAAGCCCUUUCGGUGGGGAAGAAAAGUCUCGACCUAAUACGUCGGGACCUUGACGUAACCCACUAAAGAAGCACCGGCUAACUCUGUGCC
rnacentral:rRNA from 1 species